AACGAACGCUGGCGGCAGGCUUAACACAUGCAAGUCGAGCGCCCCGCAAGGGGAGCGGCAGACGGGUGAGUAACCCGUGGGAAUCUACCCAUCUCUACGGAAUAACGCAUGGAAACGUGUGCUAAUACCGUAUACGUCCUUCGGGAGAAAGUUUUAUCGGAGAUGGAUGAGCCCGCGUGGGAUUAGCUAGUUGGUGGGGUAAAGGCCUACCAAGGCGACGAUCCAUAGCUGGUCUGAGAGGAUGAUCAGCCACACUGGGACUGGGACACGGCCCAGACUCCUACGGGAGGCAGCAGUGGGGAAUAUUGGACAAUGGGCGCAAGCCUGAUCCAGCCAUGCCGCGUGAGUGAUGAAGGCCCUAGGGUUGUAAAGCUCUUUCACCGGUGAAGAUAAUGACGGUAACCGGAGAAGAAGCCCCGGCUAACUUCGUGCCAGCAGCCGCCGCAGUAA
rnacentral:rRNA from 1 species